CCGGAGGUAGCGCAGAGGCAGGCGCACCCGCAUGGCAUGCGGGUCACGCCGGUUCGAAUCCGGUCGUCCGGA
rnacentral:tRNA from 1 species